CUGACCUCAGAACCCAGCUUCCCACGUGGGCUGUGAGCCUGACCUCAGAACCCAGCUUCCCACGUGGGCUGUGAGCCUGAAUUCUGCCACAUGGUGGUAGACCAAGCUGGAACUCGUGACGGACGCCGAUGGACAUGAAGCCACCUGAACCCAAACCAUGGACAGCUCCGGAGAGCCACAGGAGCCGAGGCCUCCACGUGUGCCGUGCUGCUGGGAUGCCUGUAACCCUCACAUGCUAGAAGACUUGGGAUUAUACAGAAGAGAAGAAGAUUGCCUCCGAGAUGGGUGUGUCAGCAGACCUGUGCCAAGUGAGCCUCAGUUGAAAGCAGUGACAGACACAAAUCUGUCCAGCUUCAGACACUGUGACAUGUUGCACAUUCACGAGAAUAAUUGCUGCAUUCCCAAAGAACGCCUCUUGGUCCUGGGUAUGUGAUGGAGCCUCAGCUACCCUUGCCGUGAUGUGCUGUUGCUGUUUCUAAGCCCAAAUGUUUUGGCAGCAGUGUCUCUCUAAGGCACCGUGUUUGGUUUUCCGGAAAGGCUUCGUAUUUGGCUGUCAGUGGUCCUAGCGUCAAUGAUACGUGUGCUCAUUUCCAGGUGAUGAAGCUGCUUCCAACCCCCAUGUGCCUAAGGAUCCAUUUACAGAAUAUGUUAAUAAAUGCUAAUGGGCCAUUUUAAGUGAUUGUUAUCAGGCUCUGUUUCUGAAGGCGGACUUCCAUCGAGGGGGAGCCAUCCCCACCCCAGAGGCCGCCCUGCUCAUUUGGACAUUCGCUCUCUCACACAGACUCUUCAGCCCUGGUGCAGGGUCACUGCUGGUUGAAUAGGAGGCUCCAGCAGGUUUAGUCGAUAUGUAAACGAGAAUUUCCUCCCCUCUCCUGGGACUUCUUUUCAUAUCAUUGAUAAACACAAAUAAACAGCAAAGAAAAUAAGCCCAGCAAAAGAUGUUUUAAAUAAUUUUAAAAACCUCCACCUUUUUUCUGUGUCUUGGCAUCUGAAAACUUGAGUAAUCUAUUGAAGCCAUGUUUUAUUGCUUGUGUACGAAAUAAUAUUCCAAGCCCUUUAAUAGGAGAGUAAGGAGUGUUUGUCUGUUCAGA
rnacentral:lncRNA from 1 species